UUUAGCUCUAGCUGGCUUAAAAUUUAGCCCCAUCUAGUAAUUGAACAGUGCUUUUAGGUAUCUGGAAUAAAAACGUUUCUCUCCCCUGUGGCUGCUGCUCCUUCUGCUUUCCCCCCAAGACAGCAGGAGUCUGUGAAGGAGAAGAGGGGCUUUUAGGACCUGGAGGGCCAUGAGGAAGACUCGGGGUCCCAACCUCUGACCUCCAGUUCCUUGGAUCUCCAGGCCAGGACCUCUUUCUCCCCCUAUUGCCAGCUGGAAUUCACGGCUGACGUCUAGCUCCGGUGGGACUCCUGGUCUGCUGUCUCUUGGCUCGGGUGCAUACCUGCCAUAAUCUUAUUCAGCCCGGAAGGCCACCUGCAGCCUCUGCUGUGGGGUCCCCUCUCGUGCCACAGCAGGCUCUCACUUGCUGUCCGGGUCACGGGGGAACUUCGAACUAGCUCGGGGAAGCCCAUGCUCCAGGCCUCUCUCUGCAGGAUGUGCUGUGGCAUUCAGGUUUUGCAGGGGGGCAGCCCAAGACUCAUGUGUGGUCCUUUCAGCAUCCUCUCUCUGUCUCCUGUAUCCAGCUAUUGGGAGAACUCCAGGAGACCCCAUCUUUCUAAAUGUGAGGAAGCUGACAGGGAAAGAGAUCUCUCUCCCUCGUGCAUGCACACUUCCCCUUGCGGACGUCUGUGUCUUCUUUCCCCAUCGGAGCAGAGACCACGAGAAGCAGACCCUGAGACGGGAAUUCCUGGGAGAACGAUUUCAGGAGAAGGAAAGUGAGAAGAGCAGAAGAGCCGAGAGGAAAAGGCUGAACUGGGAAUCAUUCCAGCUGGAGUCCAGCCCGAUCCCACCGGGAGCCCUGGAGCGAGAACUGCACCAGAAAGAAUGCUCCCCUUGAGGCCACAAGACGUUGAAAGCACGGCUUAAGUCAAGGAGGAAAAUAUUCCCAUCUGUAAGCUGGUAAUAUGCAUUCAAUACUUUUCAAUUGCUUGAGCUACGAAAUAUGAUGAUAGCCAUCUAUAUAUCUCACGAGGAAAAGAUACCUUGAAAUUCCCUCGGCCACAGUGCUGAUGGGGAGGCAUUUCUGCAGGAAAUCUGCAAAAUGGCGGUAGGCUCGUAAUAGGGCCACUGCUGCAAUGACCUCGGUGUUUCGGUGGAAGCCUGGGAGGCCGGCUCCAUGAUGGGCCAUAGAGGCACCAUCUCGUGCAGUAGUAAGACGUCGGGGAAAAAGGAAAAUCACCCCGUUGACUGCAGACUGCCAUGCUCUGUCGCUUUUCCUCUCCAAGAGGACAGAUGACAGGCUCUGAAACUUGACCACCAUUUCCUUUCCCAGUUAAUCAACAUUAGGGUAAUUGGCACAUUACAUCUCUUGUACAGUGUUGUGUCUGUGCUCAUGGCUCUCCAUAAAUAAUGAGCAAUCGAAGUAAUGACCAGAAAUGUGUGCGAGCUAUCGCAGCGAGCACAUAACGGAUGCCCUGUUUGUCUUCACGGACUGUAGCACCGGCGUGUGACUGAUGAGGCUUUCAAACGCUCUGGGUCACCUGAGGCUGGAGAGAUGCUCCGUCAAGUUGGAGUCUGUUCCUCUCCGCACAGAGCUUCAGAGUGUCUCAAUAUUUGCUUUCGGUCCGCUGUUUAAAAACGGAAAAUAUUUAGCCCAGCUCGUCAAUCACCAUGCCUGCCAAUUGUUUUUGUCCCUCCCUCUGCUUUUGGAGAAAGCCACUGGAAACACCCAAGCAAUAUAAAUGGCUCUGAGUUGCGUCUGUUUUUAGCACACGAUGUUUGAGCGCGCAAGUCAGGGCUCAUUAAAAAUCCGAAUGUGGUAGCUUAUAGAAUUGGCCACUUUAAACACAGUUUGUCUGCACGCCAGCAGUUCUGAAACUGUUUUAUAGCAGUCUGGGUUUUUAUGAGGCAUCUCUCGGUAUCUAUGGGCAUAACACACUUCAGAAUUUUCCCCAAGGUUCAGCUGGGCACGGCAUCCGCAGCCACUCCAGCCAGCGAAGAAGUGAGCCCUUCACGGUCGCUGGGGAAAGCAGCUGUGACUUUGUCAGUGUCGGCACCAGCGUGUGACAGUUACGAGGCAAGGAGAAAUGAAGCCAGAAAGGGAAGACAGUGAACACAGGGUGCUUGGUGAGUAAGUCACCACUGGGGACAAGAGGGGCUCUGCCUCACUGGGCGGCCCUGGGGGAGGACUUAGAAUAGCAUCAGGAUGAUCCCACCUGGGGUGUGUGAGAGCUGUUCUUCAUAUAACAGCUCUUUGAGCAUCUGGGAAACAUCCCUUAGGCAUAGAAAUGCAGAUACUGCUAAGAGGAGCCAGUAGGUGCUUACUAAAAUAGUCAGGUCCCAAGGGAAGAUGCGGACUGGGUCUACCCAUUUUGCAGAUCAGGAAACUGAUGCUGACUGAGAGAAGUUCAGUCAUUAGCUCUCUGCCACUGACUUAUAGUGGAUCUGGAGAUUCCCACUGUCCCGUUGAUGCAGUCUCUCCCUCCCACUCCGUGCCCCAUGCUCAGCACCAAGAGGAACCGAGCAUCUGAUACAGGAAAGGGCACAGACAACAUCCAGGACCAAACUGCCAGCACCUGGGCCCCAGGGCCUUUGCUCUAUCAUCCUUAGGCUCCCACUGGGGUAUAGCACAUGCCUUUCCUGCUUGUACUUGGAGGUUGAGGCGUAUGCUGAAUUUGGACUGGUCCCUACUUGUAAUGUGAGGACGGCAUGUGAAAGAGGAAAAGUCCACUAUUGGAAAAGAAGAUGGAUAUAUGGGAUAAAAUCAUGACGCCUCCCGGGGGGAUGAAACUCACAGCUCAGUCUUUGCAGGGAGAAGAUUUUUAAAAGCACAGGCCACAGUAAAAGAAAUUCAAAUGAAUUUCAUUCCUAAGUCAUGUUUCUCCAAAGAUUACAGACAGUCCAUCUUAAAACCCUCACACACACUUCCUAAAGCCCCUCCCUUCUUGUCCCCAAUCCCCAGCUGCUCCCAAGGCUCCUAUGUGCCAAACUUACCCCCCCCGCCUCCAACAACUCUUUCUUGGAGAUUGAGUUCCAUCGUGUGAUCAAUGAUGCAAUCAAUCAUGCCUACAUAAUGAAACCCCCAAUAAAAACUCUGGAUACCGAAGCUCAGCCGAGCUUUAGGUUGGUAAUCAGACAUCUAUGUGUGGGGAGCAUCUGAAGAUGCAAAGCUUGUCUUUGGGGCCCUCCCAGUGCUAGCCCUGGGGAUCUCCUCUUUUGGGUGGUCCUAAUUUGUGUCCUUUAUAAUAAAACAGUAAUAGUAUUGUGCUCCCUUGAGUUCUGGGAGUUGCUCUAGUGAAUUAUCGAGGCUGACGGAGGACAGAUGGUCAGAAGUGCAGGUGGCCCGGGGACUUCUGAGCUUGUGGUGGUGUCUGAUGUGAGGACAGUCUCUAUCUGUGAAAUGUGACCUAACUCAUGAAUUAGGAAGUUAGUGUAAGAACUGCAUUGCCACAUGUUUUCGCCGGAUGGUGGCUAAGAUGAUACAAUAUAGAUGAGAGCUUUUCAUUUCUUCCUGGAGAAAUCUCUAUGGGGUGUGACUAAUUCAUUAUUCUAGGACCCCUUCUUUUUCCCUUAGAGUUUAGAGUUCUGCCCUUAUGUUUUGUUUUCUUUCUUUCUUUUUCUUUCUUUCUUUUUUUUUUUUUACUAAAGAUGAGGAUAAGGGUGGAAAAUUAUUGUCUGGGGACUGACAACCAGGCCACAAUGAACUGGCAGUCCCCCAACCUAAGUCCCGUCUGGGUUUCUGUCUUAGGAGGAGAUGGGGAGUCAGGGUCAGAGGCCGACUUCAUGAAGACUCCUAACCUCCCUCCACUUAAUGGCUCCGUGUAAAUACUUCCAAAAGAGCCAACAGAUUAAUGCCUCAUAAGACCUUUUAAAGUCUUGUAAGUGGCAAAGAAACUAAAAAGAAGACCCAAUUUGUUUGGUUCAGAGUUAUUGGGGUCAAGCUGGGUUUGGUUUCUUUUGUUUACUCAUCAGUUUCCAAAAUAAAUUUCGGAAGGACAGAGACCAUUAAGAAUAAAAGAUGCUCCAGUGUACCUGAGGCUGUUUGAGAACCAGGUAAAAAGGCAAUAAAAUAUCAAACUGUGGCUGGGAGUUUUUCAAAUGCCAAGGACAAAAGCAGUAGACAGAAGUACAAACUGUGGACCAUGGAUCUUGGCCAGAUCAUGCCUUCUCCUCCCAGUUUUCCAGGGCAAAAGGUCCCCAUCAGGUAGAUGUGAAAGGGAAAUGCACUAUUUGUGUUUGAGCCUGGAAUCUGGGGUCCCUGGGAAUAUUCAUUUCAGUUAUGCAACAGAUAUUUGUUGAGCCUAAAUUGUGCCUGGCCCACCUUGAGCCACUUUUGCUAGGAGGAUUCUCAGAGGCUUUAAAUAGCUCCAUAGCCCACGUGCAGCAGGUCUGGGGACAGCUCGAGCACCUUGAUGUCCUAUAAACCUGGGCCAAAAUCAUCCGUCUUCCACCCACCAGCUCGGCCAUCUUGGGCAACCUCAGUUCUCUCUCAUUCAUAAAAAUGGAGAUACUAGUAACUACUUGUAGUGGGUUAAAUAGCAUCCCCACCCUCAAGUUCAUGUCCCCCGGAACCUCAGAAUGUGGCCGUAUUUAGAAACAGGAUCUCUGCAGAUAUAGUUAAUUAAAGGUCUUGAGAUGAGAUCGUCCUGGAUUUAGGGUGGACCCACAUCCAAUGAAGAAGAGGAAAGCACACAGAGAGACACAUCCUGGGGAAGGCCACAUGAAGAUGGAGGCAGAAAUUGGAGUGAGGUGUGUACACACCAGGGAAUGCCGAGCAUUGCAGGCAACCGCCAGGAGCUGGGGGAGAGAGACACGGAGCAGAUUCUCCCUCUGGGCUUCUGGAAGGAACCAGUCCUGCGUACACCUUGGUCUCCUACGUCUAAGCUCCAGAACUGUGAAAGAAUAUAUUUCCAUUGUUUUAAGCCACUCAGUUUGUGGCAAUUUAUUCCAGCAGCCCAAGGAACGAAGCUAGCACUCUACAGAGACUUAGGAUACAGUAUGAAAAGAUGGAUGCAAGUGUUUCAUUGAUGCAAACAGGCAACCAAUCCUAGUUCUUCUUUCUAUUCUCAGUUGUUUUCACAGGUGACAUUGGAGCUGUGGGUUAACAUUCAGCUACCUCUCUCAGCUUCCUGAUGUAUUCACCAAAAAACGUCCUAGGGUAGGUUCAACCUUCGUGCCUGAGUUUGGGCAUUUGCUGUUGAGUUUCUCAUUUAUUUUCACCUGUGUAGCAGACAUUGCUGGUGCCCUGUCCACAGGCCCUUGGCAGUCCUCAUUUCCAUGCACACUGACUCGCCGCUGGCUUGUAACUGCCGCAGCUACAACUCUUUCUGAGAACUCCCUCUGGCUGCUGGCACCUGCUUGGUUUGCACAGGGGACAGAGAGCGGAGCACCCCCCCCCCCCCCCCCCCCCCCCCGGAAUACCUUUCAACCGAUGACUGAGAGCCAGUGAGUAAAUUCUCCAGCUCCUCGUCCCCUGGCUAGGAUGGCUCUGGGGUGUGAACCACAAUGUCCCGCUCUCCCCCAGCAGGACUGAGACCCAGUUCCCACAGGGGUGAGCUGCUUGGUGACAUGCACAGUAUUGGCUUUCUUCCUCUCUUGGUGUCCUGUGGCUUCCAUAACAAAAAUGACCACAAAGUUGGUAGCUUAAGACAACAGACUCUAUUCUCUCAUGGCUCUAGAGGCCGGAAGUCCCAACUCAGUAUCCCUGGGCUGAAAUCAAGUGUCAGUGGGGUCACACUCCUUCCUGAGGCCCGAGGGGAGAGUCUGUCCCUUGCGACUUCCAGUUUCUGGGGGCUGUCAGCAGUCCCUGGCAUUCCUUGGCUUAUGGCCACAUCCCUCCAACCUCGGCCUCUGUCUCCACAUGGCCUUCUCCUCUGUAGUCAAAUGUCCCUCUGCCUCCCUCUCAUAAGGAAAUCUGUGACUGUAUUAAGGGCCCACCCAAAUAAUCCAGGAUGAGCUCCCUACCUCAAGAUCCUUAACUUAACCACACCUGCCAUGUCCCUUUUUGCCGUGGAAGGUAACAGUCAGAGGGUCCAGGAGUUAGGACCUGGAUAUCUUUUCAGGAGGGUGGCAUUAUUUGGCUGAGCACAUUUCCUUUCCUCAGUGCUUCCUGGGGUUGAAUUCCCAAUAAACUGCUUAUACUCACCUCCUUGUGUCCGAGUCGGCUUCUGGAGCGACCUCACUUCUGACAGUAUCGUUUCAGAGGCAACGAGAUUCACUCUUUCAAGAAAUCAUUUACUAAUCUGUUGCACUCACGUUUCACUAACAGUUAUACUUACAUGACUAAGCUUGUUAAAUUCUUUGAGGGUUAUUCAUUAACUCACAACCGUAAUGCCAAGGCGGAGGGCGUGAAUGGCUCGAAUAGGCUUUUGGAUAAUAAUAAUUCAAGAAAAAAAAUCAGGAG